GACGAACGCUGGCGGCGUGCUUAACACAUGCAAGUCGAACGGAAAGGCCCCCAUCUUGGUGGGGGUGCUCGAGUGGCGAACGGGUGAGUAACACGUGGGUGAUCUGCCCUGUACUUCGGGAUAAGCUUGGGAAACUGGGUCUAAUACCGGAUAGGACCAUGGUUUAGUGUCUCAUGGUGGAAAGAUUAUUGUUUUGGUGCAGGAUGAGCUCGCGGCCUAUCAGCUUGUUGGUGGGGUAAUGGCCUACCAAGGCGUCGACGGGUAGCCGGCCUGAGAGGGUGGACGGCCACAUUGGGACUGAGAUACGGCCCAGACUCCUACGGGAGGCAGCAGUGGGGAAUAUUGCACAAUGGGCGCAAGCCUGAUGCAGCGACGCCGCGUGGGGGAUGACGGCCUUCGGGUUGUAAACUCCUUUCGUUAGGGACGAAGCCAUGCUUUUUGGGUGUGGUGACGGUACCUUUGUUAAGAAGCACCGGCUAACUACGUG
rnacentral:rRNA from 1 species